rnacentral:rRNA from 1 species
GUGGUGUUGGGAGAUUUCAACAUGUACAGAUUUGCACAUGAGAAAUCUCGAGGUCAUAUCAACUGGAGUUUGAUGGAAGAUUUUAAUUCUUGGAUCAGGGACCAUGCUUUGGACGAUGUUCAGAUUGAUAAUAGACUCUUUACUUGGUCUAACAAGAGAGAGCAGCCUACUCUUGUCCAUUUGGAUCGGGUGCUUGCAAAUGCAGCUUGGAAUCUAAGCUUUCUGCAGUCAACUGUAUCAUGUAUUCCAACAACGACGUCUGAUCACGCGCCCUUGCUCCUUUCUUUCUCCACAAACAUGCCAAGGAGUAAGUUGUUUCGUAUGGAAAAUCACUGGCUGGAGUUAGAGGAGCCCCGCAACAUCAUCUCCCAGGCUUGGUCUCGUGGCACUCGAGAGAACAGUUCUGCUGCUUCUUUUAUCAGCUUCAAAAUGAGGCGUGUCCAUGCUGCCCUGCGGUAG